UACGUAGGAGGCGAGCGUUGUCCGGAUUUACUGGGCGUAAAGCGCGCGCAGGCGGCAUGGCAAGUAAGGUGUGAAAUCCCCAGGCUUAACCUGGGAACUGCAUUCGAGACUGCAUUGCUAGAGUAUGGGAGAGGGAAGUGGAAUUUCCGGUGUAGCGGUGAAAUGCGUAGAUAUCGGAAGGAACAUCAGUGGCGAAAGCGACUUCCUGGACCAAUACUGACGCUCAUGUGCGAAAGCGUGGGGAGCAAACAGG
rnacentral:rRNA from 1 species